ACUAGAACCAAACAACGAAACGCACUGACAGAGAAGACAUGUACUGCACGUGGUACACUGGACAUGACAAUAUGCCACAUUAGUAUCAUUGUAUGGGUUUGAUGAUGAAGGUGAUGGCGUGCAUUCGCUGAUUCUGGGGAGAAUAUUGUUUUAAUGUGUGCGUGUGGGUGUGUGGACGAGUGCCGGUGUUAGGUUCGAGGGGGCGAGAUGGAACUUAGUCAUCAAUUUGAUAAACAGGGGAAGUUGUGAUUCGUUGGUCACAGGUGCAAUGACACGUUAUUAUGAGCAUUGUGAGAAAAAGAUGAUGGGCAUUGUUCGGGAGGGAUGAGCAUUAUGUCAUGGCGAGGUGCCGAACACGAGGAAUCAAUUUGAUUUUAGUUAUCCAGGGGACCAAGGUCAUUUCGAAGAUCGUAAGAAGGCCCCAAAAUUUUAGAAUUAAUGAUUAGGGUUUUGAGACUGGAAAUUUUUCGGUUUUAUUUGAGCGUUGAAAAGUGUUUAGAAAGAAAGGAAAAAAUGUAGUUUGGGCUUGAAAAUGUAAAAAUUUUUGGAAAAUAAAUUUAAUUGUUGAUGGAACUAAACAAUUCAUAGUUCAAGAGCUGAGUUUAGAACAUUUUUAUGGAAAAUUUCCAAUUGAAGUGAAUGGAAAAUGCACGUGUGUUGCACAGGCGCAAAGGGAAAUGAAAAUACCUUCGAAAUUGAUUGGAGACAUUUCCUUUGACUACUCCACAAAUGAAUUCAGAUAAAUGAUGAUAGUUUAACAGAUUAAAUAAACUUACCCAGAAAAGUCAGGAUGAUAUUGAUGUUAAUCACUGUUCUGUCCCAUCGAGUGACCGCUUGAAUCACGACUCGUGUAAUUCAACACCAGCUCAUUGCGUCAAAUCCGGACAGUCUAACGCUGUGAGAGCUGUAUAGAAAUCAAUUGCGACUGGAAUUGGAGCCACAUCGCGCGGGAUUAUCCCGUGAUGGUUGGGGAAGUGACGGGAGAUUGUGAGAAAAAUUGAAAUUUCAGGGACAGUUGGCAUGUAAUUUUCAGGAGAACGGCAUUGAGAUCGAUUCACACUGAUAGAAAUUGUGGAACGAUGUAGUUACGGUUAACUAUGCUUCCAGAGUACUAAUGCUAUUGAUUAAAUCAUCAUGAGAUGAACGGCUGCAAAAAAAUAAUAAAAUUUUCAAAAAUAAGGACUACAAAGAGAUGAAUGGGGUUCAUUAAUAAAAACACAAUGACAGCAGGGUUUCACAUAUCUCCCUUUAUUACAAAACUGGAAAAAAAAACAAAAAAAAAAUCUUCUGUGACAGUAACAAACUUUUGGCUUAUGUGACUAGUUAUAAUACUCAGCGGCAAUACUAAAUUAGUGUAAUGUAUACGGUGUGUUGGGAGUGGAAAGGGGAGGAAAUUCUUCGGGAUGAGACCAUGACAAGUGUAAUAAAAAUAAUAAUUGAAAAAAAGUUGAUGAAAGAUUAUUGGCGACUGAAUUGAGACGAAGAUGCCAGUAUCUUUUCCACUACCCACACAAACUAUUCCUCGUGGGUGAAAUAAUUAACCUUGGAAAGAAAAAAUUGGGGAACUGGGGAUAAUAAUUUAACUUAUGGAUUUAAAGGUACAUAAAUAUUAAACUAUUUAUACAAUUAAUUAGUUUGUAGUCUCUGUCUUGGAAGACACGGUAUGGCAGGAUUUUUUGUUUAAUGGGGAAUAAAACUUUUUUUGACGCAAUUGUUCUACAUUGCAGGGUACAAGUGUUUAUGAGUCGAUAUUUAUAGAAAAACUUUUUGAAAACAUUCCAGAAAUUUAUAUUUUUAACAGAAAACGAUAUUCGUAAAAUGCUGUUAUCUUUUGUUUUACUAAAUAAUGUCCGGAUAAAUUAUUUAAAAAAUAUCCUGAGAACUAUAAAUGAAAAGAAUUGUAUUUCUGGACAAAAAAAGUUCUAUUCCUCUCCUACUCUUCUCAACUCUACCCAAAAUUAUAGGGUACAACAUUGCUUCUUGAUGUUGUUUCAGUGGAGAACAAUGAACAGCGGAAGGGACGUCGGAAGGGGAUCUUCAUAUCUUGUAAAGUUUAUGGAAAAAUGUUAAAGAAAAUUAUUGGCAGAAAAAUCAAUUUUCCGCAAGCAAAUUAAUUAACAUUUAUCUCGAAACCUUUGAAUCCCUUCCUGCAGCUCUGAUCUCCACCCUCAAUUACUCAUCUGCAAUUUUUGUAUUAUUUCCUUCCAAAAAAAAUGUUUAAACAAUAAAUUAAAUAAGUUUUAUCUCACACCACCUAUACAGUACACUAACACAACUAAUGAAACAUCUCGCGAGGUACAAGAGCCACGGAUUCUCCACAUAAUUGUUAUUUCAACAUAAAACAUGGGAAUCAGGAUUUUUCUAGUCAGUAAAAAACAGUUCACCUGUUGUUUUUUUUUGUAUAAAAAAUUCUUGUCAACAGUUUCUGCUAUUUGUGGGAUUCACUUUGUCCUAUGGGAAUUGACUUAAUUAAGAUUUACCUAUUUGUUCUAUAGAGAGAGUGUGUAUGUGUAUUUACACGAGACAAUUUUUGAAACCUGUGCGUUUAUCAUUCACUCGUUAAUUAGCCUUUUAGUUGAUUAAAAUUUUGCAAUUUUUUCCCAUCAUUUCGAUUAUUCGUAACCGACUCUUUUUCUUCACUGAAAUUGAAUGAUAUGUGAUGGCAGGUAAUCGAGAGGAAAGUAACAAUAAGUUCUUGUGAUUUAGUAAUAUACAAAAUCCAAUCAUGUCACUCAAUUAUUAAUUGUCAACUCGCUCGUGACAAUUGCUUUCCAUUCAUGCGAUUCGACCUAAACGUAAUAUUAAUUUUCAAAUUGGACCGACAACAGAAGGUUCAUCGUUUCCAUCUAUUCCGAGUUAUUUUUUAAAUUAAUAAAAUACAAUGACAAUUCCUGCCUUAAGGCACCGAGUGGCCGUUGUGGUUCUUAUCAAACUUAAGGUAAACUGACUAUGAUUAAAAUAUAUUAUAUCGUUUUUACAUCAUAAUUGUGAUAUACGUCUAUAAAUUCUGAUUUUUUUUCUCGCGAAUUUUCUAUAUUCAGUAGUAUUUUACAAUCUUUGCAAAUCAUUUCGUUAACAUUACGCUGGUUUUUCUGGGAUUUAGUCAAUUUGGCUACAAGGUAUUUUUGGGAACCCGUAUAUUUGCGUCUUAUAUUUUUUUGUGAUGAAAUGACGGAAAACCGAGACGACAAUAUUUUCCGAGUCUUUAUAUGUCUUUCUUGUGAAUUCCAAUUUUUUAUGCUGAAAGUAAUGCGUUUACUCAACUCCUUUACGUCAAUUCAUCAC